rnacentral:lncRNA from 1 species
AGGUGGGUGCCUGGGAAGGGCAGAUGGAGCUGAGAUGGGUGUGAGGGUCUUCGUGGCUCCCACCACUCAUCUGCCUGUUUGAGCAUCAUGCCAACUGGACAUCAUUUUCCUCAGGAAGUUCCAAGAAGGCAAAAGGCCUCCUCAAGCCCAUUGAACUAGCACAGCGGGCCAAGCCCUGAACAAACUGCCAUUAGAGAAGGCGUGCGCGUACCCAGGUUCCUCCAAUUUUCCUGGUGACCUCUCACAGCUGAGCUAUUUAACCUCCU